rnacentral:rRNA from 1 species
UUCUUUCUAGGUAGAAUAGAAAGUAAGACCUGCCCACUGAAGUUUAAAGGGCUGCAGGAUUUAACUGUGCAAAGGUAGCAUAAUAAUUAGUUUCUUAAUUAGGGAAUGGAAUGAAUGGUUAAAUAAGGUAUGGUUAUUGCCUACAAUAAAAUUGAAAUUGAAUUUUUAGUGAAAAUGCUUUAGUGAUUCUAAAAGACGAUAAGACCCUAUAGAUCUUGAUUUUUAUUUAUAUCCAAAAAUAGAUAAAAUUGGUUUAAAGUAAGGUUUUUACUGGGGUGGUAGGAGAAAUUAGUUAACUUCUUUUAUUUGAUAAACUUAAAUUUAGAAUAAAAAGAUACCUUAGGGAUAACAGCGUAAUAAAAUUUUAGAGAUCUUAUCGAUAGUUUWGUUUGCGACCUCGAUGUUGAAUUAGGGAGUUAGUUUUUAGCAGUAUAAAAAUUAAAUGGUCUGUUCGACCAAUAAUAUCCUACA